ensembl:lncRNA novel transcript
AACAUCUUGGCGAGGGGCAUUCACAUGCACCCACAUAAAGUGCAGAGGCCCUUUGCACAGAAUCCCGGCAGGGGGCCCUCGGCGGCUCUGACCCUCAGCCUGCACCGUGAGCGUCCUGGGCCCUGGCCAGGGCGAAGACUCCGACCACAGACCCUUCACCUGGUAGAGCGUCCCCGACCAGCCCAUCUGCAGAACGACCCUGUGGGCUGGGGCCGGCCCCCUGCAUUGGGCCCCUCACAACCAGUCUGUCUCCAUCCCAUGCCCUGAAUCUGCCCCCAGGAACCCUCAGUGUCACACCCACCCUGUGGGCCAGGUCAAGGCACUCAACACUGGGGUGCUGAGGACACGGGGGUGCGCCCUCCAACAAGGGCUGUGCUGGGACAGGCCCAGCUGUGAGGCCGCAGUUGACCUCCCAGAGGGACACGGGUCUGCUGCUCCAGAGACGCGGCCCUGCCAGGAGGGCUCCGUGAGUGCACACUCUCCUCUGGGCUUCCCGGGUGCGGGGCCUCCCCUGGCACAGCACAGCCCCUCACAGCACAGGCCUCACUGGGCUCUAGCUCUGUAUCUGUGCUCCUGGCAGGCCAGCACCCCAUCGCAAUGUCCUGUGCCUCUCAGGGCCCAGGGUGACCCCUCCCCAGCACAGCUGCCGUGCAGGACUCCUGCCAGUCCCAUUCACGCUGGCCUGCCCCCAGCCUGUCCCCGCAGGACUCCUGCCAGUCCCAUUCACGCUGGCCUGCCCCCAGCCUGUCCCCGCAGGACUCCUGCCAGUCCCUUUCACGCUGGCCUGCCCCCAGCCUGUCCCCGCAGGACUCCUGCCAGUCCCUUUCACGCUGGCCUGCCCCCAGCCUGCCAUUUCAGAGGCAGCCUUGGUAACCAAUGCUCAAAUGACCACUGCCCAGGCCAGAAUCUCAGAGGAGGCCACAGGUGCCCGGUAUGUUCUGAUGGGGCAGCCUCCGUGGGGGAUCCCUGGGCCCUGAACACCCUCCUUUCUCACUGUCCCUCCCUCCCCUGCGAAGGGCAUCCUCAGCUGCUUCUGAAACCUGGGGCGCUGUGGUGGGAAACAGGUAGGUCACGUGGUUUCCAGGCUUUUCAAGCCCACUGUUUUCAAUCUAGAGAUUUCACAGAAAAACCCGUGUUUUCAGCUUCUCUUGAAAAGUCAGAUCUGCCCUCAGGUGCCACCCACUUCCCCUGGG